rnacentral:lncRNA from 10 species
ACAAUCCCACUGGCCUGAGCCAGCAGGUGGCACAGCUCAGGCUGGACCCAGCCAGCCUCAAGGAGGGAAGAGAGGGACAUCAUGGUGGCGCUGGACUCCCUGCAGGGGCUCUGCAGAGGCAGAAGAUGAACAGUAAGAUGCAAAGAUCUGGCAACCUUCAGAGCUGGAUGUUCUCACAGAGCUACACAUGCCACAGUCAUCACUAGUUGCGAGAGUCUCCAGUGUUCAUUAAGCCUAUUUUGCUGGAAGUUUAGUCCCUGGAGGAUUAGUCCCUGCCCUUAAGGAGUGCCAAAGAAGACUUUGGAAUCUAAGUCACAUCUCCCCUGCUGCAAUUUUUUCCUCUUGAUAAUCAAGGAAUCUCACUGAUAAAACUCUCAAUGAGGAGCAGCUCUCCCCAUGAGCAAGUUCUUGCCUUCAUUGCCAGGGAGGCCCCAGCUAAGGUUAUACUGGGAAAGGAAUCUCUGGGGAGUACCUGGAAGAGGUCAGCUUCUCCUCAAAGGAAGCCUCUCCAGCUGGUGUACUGCAAAGCCUUCCAAGACCAAGUUCCCUCUUCCUGGCCUCUGGAACCAGCCUGUGUGCCAGCGCUGUGUCCCCAGUAACACACAUGAGUCUCUCCCUCAGAAGCCACAGAAGGAUGCAGAGAGAGACCAACCCAGGAUUGAUUCUCAGCACUUACUAAUUGUGUGGACAUAACUGCUCUGGACCUCAGCUUUGCUAUCUAUAAAAUGAGCACCCUUUUUAUAGAUAUGAACACUUUAAGAGAGUCAUAAAGAUUGAAGUUGAUUUGUGCUGCGCCUGGCACAGAGGUCUCCCUCAGUAAAUGGCAGCCACUGCUAUUGGGGUGCCCCAACACCCCUUGCCCCUGCCCACCAUUAGCUUUCACUUAGGCCCACACUGAGGGUGUGGCUGUUGUGUUGGGGGAAGGAAAAAAACCAUGCCUGGGUUGCAGGGCCCCCACCACCAACUGGUCUGCUUUUGUGGGAAGCAUUUUCUGAUGCCCUCGCCCUACCCGUGGGCUGGUUGACUAAGUGUCCAGCAUCAUGAGGAAAAGAGCAGGGUUCAGGGACAGCUUGGCUCAGCCCUGAAACUCAUCUGGGCCUAGGUCCAGAUGAGAGGCAAGCCUGGGAGGCCUUCCGUUGUACCCUUGCCUAUCCUGCAGCACCCUCUAGCCUGCAGGCCGCUCCUGGGUGGCAUAGCACCUUGGAUGUCAGGUGUGGGCCUUCCCAGGCACAUGGCAUGAGGGGGCACUUCUGUGGGUUGUUGGGGGCAGGAAGGGAUGUGUCUCCAGCUGGACUUGGGCUCUCGCAUUUUGGGGCCCAGCCAUGCCAGGACAGCACACAUGGGCGCUUAGUGCGAAUCUCAUGAUGGAGCAGAGGAGGAGCAAAGCAAAACCAGGGAGUCCCCAGGCCCCUGCUUCUGCCCCGCCCAGAGACAGUGGAGCAGGUGUCUCCAGCUUCUUAACCUCAACGCACAGUAAGAAAUACAUUUUACAGCAACCAAUAGACACAUACAUUUACAAAACGAUACUCUGUAAUGCACUGGGCUGGUUUUCUCUCCUCACGCCCCUCUAGUGAGUCACAGAUGAGUCCCGCUAUAAGUAAUGUAAGCAAGCCACAGUCCCUGGCUGGCAAGUGAGGGAGUGCCCCACCAGGACAGGGACACUGAGGCAGCAAUGAAAACAGCCAAUGCAACCACUCCUUCCUUUUUCCCCCGCUCAGACCCUCAUGGGUGAGGAGAGAAGCUGCCAAGCCGAGGACUCCAUGAGAAAGAUGCCGGAGCUGCCCCACUCCGCAGCAGGCGCUUCCCCUGGAUUCUCACUAUCCUCACGACAGCCAUGAGCACCAGCAAUUAUCUGUUCCAUUUUGGAGAGGAGGCAAUGCAGGUUCAGAGGCUUUAAAAAGAUUUACUAUGUGCUUGCUGUGUGCCGGCAACGUUUAUAUGGUUUAUAUAAUGCUGAAUGGUUUAUAUAAUGCUCAGCGCUUACCUAUUCCCCAGAGCAGCCCUAGGGAGCAGGUACCGCUGCAUCUGCAUUGGCAGAGGAGACCGCGGCUCCCCCAACCCCCGGCUCAAGGUCUCACAGCUAGUUGCAGGCCUGCAUCUCUCAACCCAGA